AUACCCGGCCGAGCUGUCCAGCAAUAAAGACGUGCUUAGUGUGUGAAGGGGGUAUCGUGUUAGAAGCCUGUGUGGCAUGUUUUAGUUUCACAAGUUCAGCAUUUGACGCGGACACGGAUAGCUGACCGUGUGUCAUAUUGUUGAUGUUGAGAAGAUGAUGAUGUUAUGGUGAAGUCGAUGACGAUGCGAUGUUCAUGUUGAUGACGACGAUGAUGUUAUGAUGUCGAUGACUACGAUGAUGAUGAUGGUCAUGUCGAUGAUGAUGGUGUGUAGAUGAUGUCGUUCAUGGUGAAGUCGAUGACGAUGCGAUGUUCAUGUUGAUGACGACAAUGAUGUUAUGGUGAUGAUGACGACGACGAUGAUGAUGGUCAUGUCGAUGAUGAUGAAGUAGAUGAUUAUGGUGAUGGCGAUGAUGUCUAUUAUGAUUAUGGUGUUGUAGGCGAUGAUGUUGACGAUAGUGUCGAUGAUUAUGAUGGCGAUGGUGAUGAUGAUGAUUGUGGUGACGAAACUACUCUAGUUGUGGUUGUCCGUAGUUGGUCCAGGACUACAGCCCCGGAGAUUCGGACACUCUUCUAAUUUAUUUUUGGUCAUUUGUAUAAACAUCAUAUUUUUUCUUGUUGAGUGAAAGGUGUGUGAGUGUUUGUGUGGUUUAGUGUUUAUAUUUCUAUCUUUUCUUUCUUUCUCUUAUUUUUUUUGUUAUUAAAUUUUGUUUAAUUU
rnacentral:sRNA from 1 species